AUGUCUAGGACUAUGGCUCCGAAAAACUCAGCUGUAUUCCUCCUUGGGCUUCUUCUCUCAUGCGUAGCCAUGAGUAGUGCGGCGAGAAUCCUUGAGGAGGCCGUUCCAUCCAAGGAGGAGCACCAGCCCGAGGGGCCACAAAUUCCGAAGGUUGAGCUGCCACCGUUCCCGGAAGUGCAUCUGCCACCUAAGCCCGAGCUUCCCAAGGUGAAGCUGCCGCCGGUCCCGGAGGUGCACCUGCCACCUAAGCCUGAGCUUCCCAAGGUGGAGCUGCCGCCGGUCCCUGAGGUGCACCUGCCACCUAAGCCCGAGCUUCCCAAGGUGGAGCUACCGCUGGUCCCGGAGGUUCACCUGCCACCCAAGCCGGAGCUGCCCAAGGUGGAGCUGCCAACGUUUCCGGAGGUUCACCUGCCACCCAAGCCGAAGCUGCCCAAGGUGGACCUGCCACCGAAGCCCGAGAUGCCCGCUGUUCCCGUGUUCCACUUCCCAAAGACGGAGGCCAAGCCGCGAGAAUUGCCUUCUCGAUAA
rnacentral:rRNA from 1 species